rnacentral:tRNA from 1 species
UCCCUGAUGGCUCAGAGGUUAAAGCAUUCUGCCUGGAAUGCAGGAGACCUGGGUUCAAUCCCUGCGUGGGGAA